CAUGGCCUACGGGGGGCAGCAGUAGGGAAUUUUCGUCAAUGGGCGCAAGCCUGAACGAGCAAUGCCGCGUGAACGAGGAAGGUCUUCGGAUCGUAAAGUUCUGUUGAAGGGGAAAAAGAGCGGAGAGAGGAAAUGAACUCCGAUUGAUAUUACCCUUCGAGGAAGUCACGGCUAACUACGUGCCAGCAGCCGCGGUAAUACGUAGGUGGCGAGCGUUAUCCGGAAUGAUUGGGCGUAAAGGGUGCGUAGGCGGCAGUGCAGGUCUGAAGUGAAAGCCCCGGGCUUAACCCGGGAACUGCUUUGGA
rnacentral:rRNA from 1 species